GUGCUCGCUUUGGCAGCACAUAUAUUAAAAUUGAAACGAUACAGAAAAGGUUAGCAUGGCCCCUGCACAAGGAUGACACUCAAAUUCGUGAAGUGUUUCAUAUUUUU
ensembl:snRNA U6 U6 spliceosomal RNA